GGCAAGAUGGCCGAGCGGUCUAAGGCGCCAGAAUCAGGAUCUGGUCCAUUUGGGCGGGGGUUCGAAUCCCUCUCUUGUCA
rnacentral:tRNA from 1 species